rnacentral:rRNA from 1 species
GAUGAACGCUGGCGGCGUGCCUAAUACAUGCAAGUCGAGCGAACAGACGAGGAGCUUGCUCCUCUGACGUUAGCGGCGGAGGGGUGAGUAACACGUGAAUAACCUACCUAUAAGACUGGGAUAACUUCGAGAAACCGGAUCUAAUACCGGAUAAUAUCUUGAACCGCGUGGUGGAAUAGUAAAAGACGGUGUUGCUGGCACUUAUAGAUGGAUCCGCGCCGCAUUAGCUAGUUGGUAAGGUAACGGCUUUCCAAGGGGACGAUGCGUAGCCGACCUGAGAGGGGGAUCGGCCACCCUGGAACGGAGACACGGUCCAGACUACUAAGGGAGGCAGCAGUAGGGAACCUUACGCAAUGGGCGAAAGCAUGACGGAGCAACGCCGCGUGAGUGAUGAAGGUCUUCGGAUCGUAAAGCUCUGUUAUUAGGGAAGAACAAAUGUGUAAGUAGCUAUGCACGUCUUGACGGUAACGAAUCAGAAAGCAACGGCUAACUACGUG